GAUGAACGCUGGCGGCGUGCUUAACACAUGCAAGUCGAACGGACAGACGCUGCGCUUGUGCGGUGCUCGAGUGGCGAAGGGGGGUGAGAAACACGAGUAUAACCCACCUAACUUAGUGGGAAAUCUACGGGAAAGGGGCUAAUACAGGAUAGAACCUGCUGAAGCGCGUGGGGGAACGGAGAGUGUCGGCGGUUCGGGAUGGACUCGCAGGUUAUCCGCUUGUUGGUGAGGUAGGGGUUUCCCAAGUCUUUGACGGGUAGCCCGCCUGAGAGGGGGGCCGGCCACAAGAGGACUGAGAUACGGCCCAGUCUCGUACGGGAGGCAACAGUGGGGAGUAUUGCAGAACGGGCGGAAGCGUGAGGAAGCAACGCCGCGUGCGGGAUGCCGUCCUUCGGGGGAAAAACCGCUUUGGCAUGUGACGAAGCGUGAGUGACGGUACCGGGUAAAGAAGCACCGGCUAACUACGUG
rnacentral:rRNA from 1 species